CUGGACCUGUGAACUUCU
rnacentral:miRNA from 1 species